GAUGAACGCUGGCGGCGUGCCUAAUACAUGCAAGUCGAGCGAACAGACGAGGAGCUUGCUCCUCUGACGUUAGCGGCGGACGGGUGAGUAACACGUGGAUAACCUACCUAUAAGACUGGGAUAACUUCGGGAAACCGGAGCUAAUACCGGAUAAUAUAUUGAACCGCAUGGUUCAAUAGUGAAAGACGGUUUUGCUGUCACUUAUAGAUGGAUCCGCGCCGCAUUAGCUAGUUGGUAAGGUAACGGCUUACCAAGGCGACGAUGCGUAGCCGACCUGAGAGGGUGAUCGGCCACACUGGAACUGAGACACGGUCCAGACUCCUACGGGAGGCAGCAGUAAGGAAUCUUCCGCAAUGGGCGAAAGCCUGACGGAGCAACGCCGCGUGAGUGAUGAAGGUCUUCGGAUCGUAAAACUCUGUUAUUAGGGAAGAACAAAUGUGUAAGUAACUAUGCACGUCUUGACGGUACCUAAUCAGAAAGCCACGGCUAACUACGUGC
rnacentral:rRNA from 1 species